GAUGAACGCUGGCGGCGUGCCUAAUACAUGCAAGUCGAGCGAACGGACGAGAAGCUUGCUUCUCUGAUGUUAGCGGCGGACGGGUGAGUAACACGUUGAUAACCUACCUAUAAGACUGGGAUAACUUCGGGAAACCGGAGCUAAUACCGGAUAAUAUUUUGAACCGCAUGGUUCAAAAGUGAAAGACGGUCUUGCUGUCACUUAUAGAUGGAUCCGCGCUGCAUUAGCUAGUUGGUAAGGUAACGGCUUACCAAGGCAACGAUGCAUAGCCGACCUGAGAGGGUGAUCGGCCACACUGGAACUGAGACACGGUCCAGACUCCUACGGGAGGCAGCAGUAGGGAAUCUUCCGCAAUGGGCGAAAGCCUGACGGAGCAACGCCGCGUGAGUGAUGAAGGUCUUCGGAUCGUAAAACUCUGUUAUUAGGGAAGAACAUAUGUGUAAGUAACUGUGCACAUCUUGGCGGUACCUAAUCAGAAAGCCACGGCUAACUACGUG
rnacentral:rRNA from 1 species